rnacentral:tRNA from 1 species
GGUAGGAUGGCUGAGAGUUAAGCGGUGGAUUGUAGUCCCAUAUUACAGAGGUUUAAGUCCUCUUCCUGCCA